UACGUAGGGUGCAAGCGUUGUCCGGAAUUAUUGGGCGUAAAGAGCUCGUAGGCGGUUUGUCGCGUCGAAUGUGAAAACCCGGGGCUCAACUCCGGGCCUGCAGUCGAUACGGGCGGACUCGAGUUCGGCAGGGGAGACUGGAAUUCCUGGUGUAGCGGUGAAAUGCGCAGAUAUCAGGAGGAACACCGGUGGCGAAGGCGGGUCUCUGGGCCGAUACUGACGCUGAGGCACGAAAGCGUGGGGAGCAAACAGG
rnacentral:rRNA from 1 species